rnacentral:rRNA from 1 species
UGGGGAAUUUUGGACAAUGGGCGAAAGCCUGAUCCAGCAAUGCCGCGUGUGUGAAGAAGGCCUUCGGGUUGUAAAGCACUUUUGUCCGGAAAGAAAUCCUUGGCUCUAAUACAGUCGGGGGAUGACGGUACCGGAAGAAUAAGCACCGGCUAACUACGUGCCAGCAGCCGCGGUAAUACGUAGGGUGCAAGCGUUAAUCGGAAUUACUGGGCGUAAAGCGUGCGCAGGCGGUCUGCUAAGACCGAUGUGAAAUCCCCGGGCUCAACCUGGGAACUGCAUUGGUGACUGGCAGGCUAGAGUAUGGCAGAGGGGGGUAGAAUUCCACGUGUAGCAGUGAAAUGCGUAGAGAUGUGGAGGAAUACCGAUGGCGAAGGCAGCCCCCUGGGCCAAUACUGACGCUCAUGCACGAAAGCGUGGGGAGCAAACAGGAUUAGAUACCCUGGUAGUCCACGCCCUAAACGAUGUCAACUAGUUGUUGGGGAUUCAUUUCCUUAGUAACGUAGCUAACGCGUGAAGUUGACCGCCUGGGGAGUACGGUCGCAAGAUUAAAACUCAAAGGAAUUGACGGGGUCAUAGCUGUUUCCU